AGCAGUAGCCGCGGUAAUACAGAGGGUGCGAGCGUUAAUCGGAUUUACUGGGCGUAAAGCGUGCGUAGGCGGCUUUUUAAGUCGGAUGUGAAAUCCCUGAGCUUAACUUAGGAAUUGCAUUCGAUACUGGGAAGCUAGAGUAUGGGAGAGGAUGGUAGAAUUCCAGGUGUAGCGGUGUAAUGCGUAGAGAUCUGGAGGAAUACCGAUGGCGAAGGCAGCCAUCUGGCCUAAUACUGACGCUGAGGUACGAAAGCAUGGGGAGCAAACAGGAUUAGAUACCCCCGUAGUCCCUGUCUCUUAUAC
rnacentral:rRNA from 1 species